rnacentral:lncRNA from 1 species
GUCAGUCUACACAGGCAGCUGGCACAGUUGUACAGUCUUGUGCAGAAGCUGCCUUCUACUCAUUAUCUGCAGUUUUAAUCAUCACAGGCGUUCUGAACUGUAUCUGCAACUGCAGAAUUGUAUAGGGAUUUGGUAUCCAUAACUCAUGAACUUCUUCUUUUCCAGUGACAAGGAUCUGAAACUGCCGGUUUCCACCUCCCCUGUUACUUGUUAGAUUUCACGUUCACUGGAUUUUCCUGGAACGUUACCCUGGUGGAUAAUGAAAGGCAACUGUUAAGCUCCAGUCCUGGCCAUUACAGACUGGUCUUGAGUUACAUGGUGAAAAGAGGAAGGAUUCUUUCAUCUUUCUGCCAUAAACACCCAAAAAGGAGAAAGAAAAAAGACAAAACAGCCCCAGGAGCAGCAGCACUGCCCACUUGCCUGUUAAGCAGAGCUUGGUGCCAUAUGUGAUCUUCUAGUUCAACGAUAUGGCUGGGCCAGCUCAAAUGGAAGAACCACUUCACUUCAUUCCCUAGCUUUUCUGCUAAUUAUUGCUACAGGUAAAAUGAAUGCUGGAAAUAUUUUGCAGGUGUGUGUGAAUAAUUUAAUGUAAAGCAUCCUGUUUCCACGCAGAUCUGAACAUCAAAAACCAAAUCAGAGUCAGU